rnacentral:rRNA from 1 species
CCUACGGGUGGCAGCAGUGGGGAAUAUUGGACAAUGGGGGGAACCCUGAUCCAGCGACGCCGCGUGAGUGAAGAAGUAUUUCGGUAUGUAAAGCUCUAUCAGCAGGGAAGAAAGAAAUGACGGUACCUGACUAAGAAGCCCCGGCUAACUACGUGCCAGCAGCCGCGGUAAUACGUAGGGGGCAAGCGUUAUCCGGAUUUACUGGGGGUAAAGGGAGCGUAGAUGGUUACGCAAGUCUGGAGUGAAAGGCGGGGGCGCAACCCGCGGACUGCUUUGGAAACUGGAUAACUGGAGUGCAGGAGAGGUAAGUGGAAUUCCUAGUGUAGCGGUGAAAUGCGUAGAUAUUGGGAGGAACACCAGUGGCGAAGGCGGCUUACUGGACUGUAACUGACGUUGAGGCUCGAAAGCGUGGGGAGCAAACAGGAUUAGAUACCCUAGUAGUC